UAGUUCUUUUUGUUCAUCAACAUCCUCAUGUUUUCAGUUAGUGGGAACACAUCUACAACAAAAAUUGAAGAUCUUGGGAAUUCCAAGCAAUCAAAAGAGACCAAAUCCAUGCACGGUUUGAUCAUGGAAUCAGGCAAAUUAGACGCCAAAAGAAGUGAAAGAACACAUCAAGCAUUGCACGCUGUCGAACACACGAAGGUGUCACAGAAAGCGAAGACAAAUGGUGGAGCUAAUAACGUUAAAGAUCACAAAGGGAAGAAUAGCACAAACACCAACUCUAUCAAAUCUUCAUACUUGUUCAUUCCCGUAACGCUUCUGGUUGGUUACUUCUUUUGAAUUUCAAAGCUUCAAAUUAUCUCUUGUCUAGUGAAGGUACAACUAGUGAUGCUUAAUUACGUGAUGUGUUAGUAUCCUACUUUGGAUUUGUAUCGUACAGAUGUUCCUGCUAUUCUAUUAGUUUGUGUGCUGCAAGAUUUGA